rnacentral:tRNA from 8 species
GACCUACUAGCUCAGUCGGUAGAGCACCUGACUUUUAAUCAGGGUGUCCCGCGUUCGAGUCGCGGGUGGGUCACCA